CUACGGGGGGCAGCAGUGGGGAAUAUUGCACAAUGGGCGCAAGCCUGAUGCAGCAACGCCGCGUGAGGGAUGAAGGCCUUCGGGUUGUAAACCUCUUUUAGCAGGGAAGAAGCGAAAGUGACGGUACCUGCAGAAAAAGCACCGGCUAACUACGUGCCAGCAGCCGCGGUAAUACGUAGGGUGCAAGCGUUGUCCGGAAUUAUUGGGCGUAAAGAGCUCGUAGGCGGUUUGUCACGUCUGCUGUGAAAAUCCAAGGCUCAACCUUGGACUUGCAGUGGGUACGGGCAGGCUAGAGUGCGGUAGGGGGGAUGGGAAUUCCUGGUGUAGCGGUGGAAUGCGCAGAUAUCAGGAGGAACACCAAUGGCGAAGGCACAUCUCUGGGCCGUAACUUACGCUGAGGAGCGAAAGCGUGGGGAGCGAACAGGAUUAGAUACCCCGGUAGUC
rnacentral:rRNA from 1 species